UUUCUGCAAUUCUGGCGACCUAGCUAGAACCUGCUGCUAGUGUCCCUCUUCACUCGUUCUUUCUAUGAUAGGGGAAGGCAGCACUCGCAGAAGAUUUUCCAAGAAUGCAAUGUCGACUGGUGCUCGUACCAUAAGAAGAGAGAAAUCAAAGUCCGCUCUUGAAUCAUGCCUGAGUAUUAGAAAAUUAUUUCAGAACACGCUUGUGUAGAUUUCCUGCCAGUGCCACUGACAUCUCGCGACCUCCAAAUAUUAUAACUUGCUCGAUCAUCUCCCGCACUGACUGGCAAAUUCGUCAGGUAGCUGUGGAUGGAUCGAUUCAGGGAGAUCGAAGAACAAUUCCACGGUACUUCAAUACGCUGUUGAAUUGUAUCCUCUGCUUGGGAGUCUCGACUGUUUUAUUGCUGCAUGGCUCUCCUCAACACCGUUCACUGUACAUGUAUCACGGAACGCAGAUUGGAUGGCAUUGGAGGUGAAUUUGAUAAUUUGUGACUGUGUCAUCAACCAAGUGAGGACAUCAAAUAUCAACCGGGACGCUCCGAAAAUCACAAACGCUGCGAAAUAGAUGGUCUUACACACUGGAGGGUAUUCCACAUUCAUUGUGUCAUAUCUUUAGACUGUCCGAAAGUUUGUCGUGCCGUGCAACUUUCACAGACUUAUCCGAUAAUUGGCAUGUGGCCCUACUGGCACACACUCAUGCGUACUGCCGUUGAGUUUAUCUAUAUGUGCACGCACAUGUGUGUAUACAUAUACAAUUUUAUUACGUAUGUAAAAUUAGGCAAUCUACAUGUACAUACUGUGUGUGCACUCACUCUUAUGACAUAGAACGACAGUGCAGGCUAUGUAAAGUCGCAUCAAUGUGUGUCACCCGGGUGUGUACAUGCAUGCGCGCUCGCGCGGGCGUUUUGUGUGCGCGCCUGGCAUGGCAUAACGCCGUUCAGUAUGACUAGUGUUGAACCGUGGUAAUUUGCCCCCACCCCCUCUUUUUUCUGCUGGCGUUGGAUAUGCAACUAAUGACAUAAACUCGGUUGUUGAAAACGAGUGCCAUGCACCACAAUGGAUGGACAAUAAGAUAAUACAAGUAGCACUGUAAAAGCGCUGGUAAUACUUAUGUUGAAGCCAUGGCAGUUGUGAGUAGCUUUCCAAGUCAAGCCUGCUGCAGAAAUUAUUGCACUCCGACCAGCUGGAGUGGCCCGGGACUGCCGGUUGUGGAGAACAGGAGUGAUGCUUGUAUAUACGCUUGUAUUUACAUGAUGUACACAGUGUACUUCGAAGUAACGCUAGGUGUAUUACUUGUGUGUUCUUCUGCCUGUGCGCGUGUACAUGUGCUGGUCAGUGUGGAACCGCCAUCCAUAUCAGAUCAUACAGCUGCUAUCAGUCUCAACAGCUUGUAUCUUGCAAAUAGGGUUUUAGUGACUCGA